rnacentral:rRNA from 1 species
GGGUUGUGAGGUUAAGCGACUAAGCGUACACGGUGGAUGCCCUGGCAGUCAGAGGCGAUGAAGGACGUGCUAAUCUGCGAAAAGCGCCGGUAAGGUGAUAUGAACCGUUAUAGCCGGCGAUGUCCGAAUGGGGAAACCCAGUGUGACUCGUCACACUAUCAUUAACUGAAUCCAUAGGUUAAUGAGGCGAACCGGGGGAACUGAAACAUCUAAGUACCCCGAGGAAAAGAAAUCAACCGAGAUUCCCCCAGUAGCGGCGAGCGAACGGGGAGGAGCCCAGAGUCUGAAUCAGCUUGUGUGUUAGUGGAAGCGUCUGGAAAGUCGCGCGAUACAGGGUGACAGCCCCGUACACAAAAGCACACAGGCUGUGAGCUCGAUGAGUAGGGCGGGACACGUGGUAUCCUGUCUGAAUAUGGGGGGACCAUCCUCCAAGGCUAAAUACUCCUGACUGACCGAUAGUGAACCAGUACCGUGAGGGAAAGGCGAAAAGAACCCCGGCGAGGGGAGUGAAAAAGAACCUGAAACCGUGUACGUACAAGCAGUGGGAGCCUCUUAAUGGGGUGACUGCGUACCUUUUGUAUAAUGGGUCAGCGACUUAUAUUCUGUAGCAAGGUUAACCGAAUAGGGGAGCCGAAGGGAAACCGAGUCUUAACUGGGCGUUAAGUUGCAGGGUAUAGACCCGAAACCCGGUGAUCUAGCCAUGGGCAGGUUGAAGGUUGGGUAACACUAACUGGAGGACCGAACCGACUAAUGUUGAAAAAUUAGCGGAUGACCUGUGGCUGGGGGUGAAAGGCCAAUCAAACCGGGAGAUAGCUGGUUCUCCCCGAAAGCUAUUUAGGUAGCGCCUCGUGAAUUCAUCUCCGGGGGUAGAGCACUGUUUCGGCUAGGGGGCCAUCCCGGCUUACCAACCCGAUGCAAACUACGAAUACCGGAGAAUGUUAUCACGGGAGACACACGGCGGGUGCUAACGUCCGUCGUGAAGAGGGAAACAACCCAGACCGCCAGCUAAGGUCCCAAAGUCAUGGUUAAGUGGGAAACGAUGUGGGAAGGCCCAGACAGCCAGGAUGUUGGCUUAGAAGCAGCCAUCAUUUAAAGAAAGCGUAAUAGCUCACUGGUCGAGUCGGCCUGCGCGGAAGAUGUAACGGGGCUAAACCAUGCACCGAAGCUGCGGCAGCGACACUGUGUGUUGUUGGGUAGGGGAGCGUUCUGUAAGCCUGCGAAGGUGGCCUGUGAGGGUUGCUGGAGGUAUCAGAAGUGCGAAUGCUGACAUAAGUAACGAUAAAGCGGGUGAAAAGCCCGCUCGCCGGAAGACCAAGGGUUCCUGUCCAACGUUAAUCGGGGCAGGGUGAGUCGACCCCUAAGGCGAGGCCGAAAGGCGUAGUCGAUGGGAAACAGGUUAAUAUUCCUGUACUUGGUGUUACUGCGAAGGGGGGACGGAGAAGGCUAUGUUAGCCGGGCGACGGUUGUCCCGGUUUAAGCGUGAAGGUGUGUGCUCCAGGCAAAUCCGGAGUGCUUUAACACUGAGGCGUGAUGACGAGGCACUACGGUGCUGAAGUAACAAAUGCCCUGCUUCCAGGAAAAGCCUCUAAGCAUCAGGUAACACGAAAUCGUACCCCAAACCGACACAGGUGGUCAGGUAGAGAAUACCAAGGCGCUUGAGAGAACUCGGGUGAAGGAACUAGGCAAAAUGGUGCCGUAACUUCGGGAGAAGGCACGCUGAUAUGUAGGUGAAGCGACUUGCUCGUGGAGCUGAAAUCAGUCGAAGAUACCAGCUGGCUGCAACUGUUUAUUAAAAACACAGCACUGUGCAAACACGAAAGUGGACGUAUACGGUGUGACGCCUGCCCGGUGCCGGAAGGUUAAUUGAUGGGGUCAUCCGUAAGGAGAAGCUCUUGAUCGAAGCCCCGGUAAACGGCGGCCGUAACUAUAACGGUCCUAAGGUAGCGAAAUUCCUUGUCGGGUAAGUUCCGACCUGCACGAAUGGCGUAAUGAUGGCCAGGCUGUCUCCACCCGAGACUCAGUGAAAUUGAACUCGCUGUGAAGAUGCAGUGUACCCGCGGCAAGACGGAAAGACCCCGUGAACCUUUACUAUAGCUUGACACUGAACACUGGUCCUUGAUGUGUAGGAUAGGUGGGAGGCUUUGAAGCGUGGACGCCAGUCUGCGUGGAGCCAUCCUUGAAAUACCACCCUUUAAUGGCUGGUGUUCUAACGUGGACCCGUAAUCCGGGUUGCGGACAGUGUCUGGUGGGUAGUUUGACUGGGGCGGUCUCCUCCUAAAGCGUAACGGAGGAGCACGAAGGUCAGCUAAUCCUGGUCGGACAUCAGGAGGUUAGUGCAAUGGCAUAAGCUGGCUUGACUGCGAGCGUGACGGCGCGAGCAGGUGCGAAAGCAGGUCAUAGUGAUCCGGUGGUUCUGAAUGGAAGGGCCAUCGCUCAACGGAUAAAAGGUACUCCGGGGAUAACAGGCUGAUACCGCCCAAGAGUUCAUAUCGACGGCGGUGUUUGGCACCUCGAUGUCGGCUCAUCACAUCCUGGGGCUGAAGUAGGUCCCAAGGGUAUGGCUGUUCGCCAUUUAAAGUGGUACGCGAGCUGGGUUUAGAACGUCGUGAGACAGUUCGGUCCCUAUCUGCCGUGGGCGCUGGAGAAUUGAGGGGGGCUGCUCCUAGUACGAGAGGACCGGAGUGGACGCAUCACUGGUGUUCGGGUUGUCAUGCCAAUGGCACUGCCCGGUAGCUAAAUGCGGAAGAGAUAAGUGCUGAAAGCAUCUAAGCACGAAACUUGCCCCGAGAUGAGUUCUCCCUGAGACUUUAAGUCUCCUGAAGGAACGUUGAAGACGACGACGUUGAUAGGCCGGGUGUGUAAGCGCAGCGAUGCGUUGAGCUAACCGGUACUAAUGAACCGUGAGGCUUAACCUUACAACGCCGAAG